AUACGGAGGGGGUUAGCGUUGUUCGGAAUUACUGGGCGUAAAGCGUACGUAGGCGGAUCAGAAAGUAUGGGGUGAAAUCCCAGGGCUCAACCCUGGAACUGCCUCAUAAACUCCUGGUCUUGAGUUCGAGAGAGGUGAGUGGAAUUCCGAGUGUAGAGGUGAAAUUCGUAGAUAUUCGGAGGAACACCAGUGGCGAAGGCGGCUCACUGGCUCGAUACUGACGCUGAGGUACGAAAGUGUGGGGAGCAAACAGGAUUAGAUACCCUAGUAGUCC
rnacentral:rRNA from 1 species